ACGUCGUUGGCGAGGCGCAGGGCGUCUUCGGUGGUGUCGAAGGGAAUCACGGUCAGGACCGGGCCGAAGAUCUCCUCCUGGGCGAUGCGC
rnacentral:tRNA from 1 species